rnacentral:rRNA from 1 species
AGCAGCCGCGGUAAUUCCAGCUCCAAUAGCGUAUAUUAAAGUUGUUGCAAGUUAAAAAGCUCGUAGUUGUAAGUUUCGGGAUCGACGGGUCGGUCGCGCCUCCGGUGUGUACUGGCCCUGUCGGUUUCUCCCUUCUGACGAACUGCGAUGUCAUUAAUUUGGUGUCGUAGGGAAUCAGGACUGUUACUUUGAAAAAAUUAGAGUGUUUAAAGCAGGCACACGCUUGAAUACAUUAGCAUGGAAUAAUGAAAUAGGACGUUUUGAUCUUAUUUUGUUGGUUUCUAAGAUCGACGUAAUGAUUAAUAGGGAUAGUUGGGGGCAUUAGUAUUCAAUUGUCAGAGGUGAAAUUCUUGGAUUUAUUGAAGACUAACUACUGCGAAAGCAUUUGCCAAGGAUGUUUUCAUUAAUCAAGAACGAAAGUUAGGGGAUCGAAGACGAUCAGAUACCGUC